UACGGGGGGGGCAAGCGUUGUUCGGAAUUACUGGGCGUAAAGGGCUCGUAGGCGGCCAACUAAGUCAGCCGUGAAAUCCCUCGGCUUAACCGGGGAACUGCGUCUGAUACUGGAUGGCUUGAGUUCGGGAGAGGGAUGCGGAAUUCCAGGUGUAGCGGUGAAAUGCGUAGAUAUCGGGAGGAACACCAGUAGCGAAGGCGGCUCGCUGGGCCAUUCCUGACGCUGAGACGCGAAAGCGAGGGGAGCGAACAGG
rnacentral:rRNA from 1 species